rnacentral:tRNA from 1 species
UCCUCCGUGGCGCAAUUGGCUAGCGCGUCCGACUGUUAAACGAGAAAUCACGUGAUUGCUUACGUAAGCUAUCGGGAGGUUCACAGUUCAAGCCUGUGCGGGGGAG